rnacentral:piRNA from 1 species
UAAAGUCGUGAACGUAUUCUAAGGA